UGCGAUUGGAUUGCACGUCUAAGCAGUAAGGCUGAGUAUUAGGCAAAUCCGGUACUCAUUAAGGCUGAGCUGUGAUGGGGAGAAGACAUUGUGUCUUCGAGUCGUUGAUUUCACACUGCCGAGAAAAGCCUCUAGAUAGAAAAUAGGUGCCCGUACCGCAAACCGACACAGGUAGUCAAGAUGAGAAUUCUAAGGUGAGCGAGCGAACUCUCGUUAAGGAACUCGGCAAAAUGACCCCGUAACUUCGGGAGAAGGGGUGCUCUUUAGGGUUAACGCCCAGAAGAGCCGCAGUGAAUAGGCCCAAGCGACUGUUUAUCAAAAACACAGGUCUCUGCUAAACCGUAAGGUGAUGUAUAGGGGCUGACGCCUGCCCGGUGCUGGAAGGUUAAGAGGAGUGGUUAGCUUCUGCGAAGCUACGAAUCGAAGCCCCAGUAAACGGCGGCCGUAACUAUAACGGUCCUAAGGUAGCGAAAUUCCUUGUCGGGUAAGUUCCGACCCGCACGAAAGGCGUAACGAUUUGGGCACUGUCUCAACGAGAGACUCGGUGAAAUCAUAGUACCUGUGAAGAUGCAGGUUACCCGCGACAGGACGGAAAGACCCCGUGGAGCUUUACUGUAGCCUGAUAUUGAAAUUCGGCACAGCUUGUACAGGAUAGGUAGGAGCCUUUGAAACGUGAGCGCUAGCUUACGUGGAGGCGCUGGUGGGAUACUACCCUAGCUGUGUUGGCUUUCUAACCCGCACCACUUAUCGUGGUGGGAGACAGUGUCAGGCGGGCAGUUUGACUGGGGCGGUCGCCUCCUAAAAGGUAACGGAGGCGCUCAAAGGUUCCCUCAGAAUGGUUGGAAAUCAUUCAUAGAGUGUAAAGGCAUAAGGGAGCUUGACUGCGAGACCUACAAGUCGAGCAGGGUCGAAAGACGGACUUAGUGAUCCGGUGGUUCCGCAUGGAAGGGCCAUCGCUCAACGGAUAAAAGCUACCCCGGGGAUAACAGGCUUAUCUCCCCCAAGAGUUCACAUCGACGGGGAGGUUUGGCACCUCGAUGUCGGCUCAUCGCAUCCUGGGGCUGUAGUCGGUCCCAAGGGUUGGGCUGUUCGCCCAUUAAAGCGGUACGCGAGCUGGGUUCAGAACGUCGUGAGACAGUUCGGUCCCUAUCCGUCGUGGGCGUAGGAAAUUUGAGAGGAGCUGUCCUUAGUACGAGAGGACCGGGAUGGACAUACCUCUGGUGUACCAGUUGUCGUGCCAACGGCAUAGCUGGGUAGCUAUGUGUGGACGGGAUAAGUGCUGAAAGCAUCUAAGCAUGAAGCCCCCCUCAAGAUGAGAUUUCCCAACUUCGGUUAUAAGAUCCCUCAAAGAUGAUGAGGUUAAUAGGUUCGAGGUGGAAGCAUGGUGACAUGUGGAGCUGACGAAUACUAA
rnacentral:rRNA from 1 species